UACAGAGGGUGCAAGCGUUAUUCGGAUUUACUGGGCGUAAAGGGCACGUAGGCGGUUUUGUAAGUCCGGUGUGAAAUCCCCCGACUUAAUCGGGGAAGUGCACUGGAUACUGCAAAACUAGAGUACGGGAGAGGAGAGUGGAAUUCCUGGUGUAGAGGUGAAAUUCGUAGAUAUCAGGAGGAACAACAGAGGCGAAGGCGACUCUCUGGACCGUAACUGACGCUGAGGUGCGAAAGCGUGGGGAGCAAACAGG
rnacentral:rRNA from 1 species